rnacentral:piRNA from 1 species
UUGUCUAGAACAGCACGAAGGUCAUGGG